rnacentral:lncRNA from 1 species
AUAUAUUGCCCUCAUAUUGCCUUUGUCCUUCCCUCCUCUCUCUCUCUCUCUCUCUCUCUCUCUCUCUCUCUCUCUCUCUCUCUCUCUCUCUCUCUCUCUCUCUCUCUCUUCUCCCCCCCCCCUCUCUCUCUCUCUCUCUCUCUCUCUCUCUCUCUCUCUCUCUCUCUCUCUCUGUCUGUGAGCGUGUUUAUACACACCUAUCAGUCAGCUUGAUUUAACCCCUCUCUCUCUCACAUGUGAGAUACCAGAGUUCUGUCUGCUUUGUUCUUACAAGAUAAAUUGGAAUGCACACAAAUCACAUGAAGGACACAAACAACAACUUUAACAACUCUCUCCUCAGUGCCCAAAAGGAGAAGCUUAUUCAAGCAAUUAAAAAGAUCAAACAUGAAAUUGAUGAAUGUUAUGAGGCUGAGAAAGAGGCCUUUGUGGACGCACUGGAGGUCGAGAACAGAUUUGAAGAGAUAGAGCGUGAAAUCCGAGCAGAGUUCCAAAACCUCCAUCGUUUCCUGGAUGAGGAGGAAGAGACGGAUCUGGAACGGCUAAGGAAGGAAAGGGACAGACGAGUGAAGAUCUUAAAAGAGAGAGAGAAAAAGAUUGGCACGCAGAGUAGAGAUCUAGAGAAAGCCAUUGAGACACUGAACUGCAAACUGCGGGAAGAUGACAGCCCCAAACUUUUGA